CUUGAGGUCUAUCCCGAUGUGGCUUCUCCUGUGGCCGCACAUCGUUGGAAACGCCUCAUAGAGUAACACUGUGGUUUUGCUUUGCUCACAGGUCUAUUUCUUAGGCCUGUGAUAAGGCACUACAAGACAGCA
ensembl:snoRNA small nucleolar RNA, H/ACA box 18